GUGCUCGCUUCAGCAGCACAUGUACUGAAACUGGAAUGAUACAGAGAACAUGAGCAUGGCUCUUGCACAAGGAUGACACGCAAAUUUGUGAAGUGUUCCAUAUUUUA
ensembl:snRNA U6 U6 spliceosomal RNA